AAUCCGAUGUCUGAGAUCCGAUAUCCGAAUAUGAUAUAGUCCGAACUCAUGGGCGACCAUGAGAGCGCGGCAGAAAUGACCGCGCCACCCAGCACAUAUUUUUGGAGAAAAAGAAAAAGGCAUUGUGCAGGAUCUUCAACACAAUGCCAUCUAGAUACCAAGCUACUUUCCAGUUAUAAUUUCUGCGUUCACAGAAACCAAAUUUCCGACCGUGCGGCCGAACUUGAGCUUGAUCGUUUUGACAGGCAGAGUAGUCAGGUCAAGCCUCAUCUUGCGGAAAAUUUUUUGAACGGCUACAACUCUACUCGGUCCUUCCGUUGAAUGAAAUGCUUUUAUCAGUUUCAUUGGCAACCUCCUUGGCAGCCUCACUCAAGGGCUACCCGAAGGUUACCAUGGUUGAUCGAUAAAUGUCAAGAAUCCGACUUAAUCUCCAAAAAUAUGUGCUGGGAAGCAACAAAAUUGUAGAUACCCUUGUAGUCCACGCCCUAAACGAUGCCUGCUUGCUGUUUCGAGUAUCGACCCUCGGAGUGGCGUAGCUAACGCGUUAAGCAGGCCGCCUGGGAAGUACGGCCGCAAGGCUAAAACUCAAAGGAAUAGACGGGGACUCGCACAAGCGGUGGAACAUGAGGUUUAAUUCGAUAGUAAGCGAGGAACCUUACCAGGGCUUGAAAUGCUUAUUGAAAGCUGGCUGAAAGGCUGGCCUUCUCUCAAGGACAAUAAGCACAGGUGCUGCAUGGUUGUCGUCAGCUCGUGUCUUGAGAUGUUCCCUUAAGUGGGGUAACGAGCGCAACCCCUGUCGCGUGUUACAAGUGUCACGCGAAACUGCCCAGCCCCAGUUUUACUGCCGACGUUCUUUAAAAGGUUCGAGCGUUGGUGGCGAUAUAAACCGUUUUGCGUUAAGCAAGGCGUGUUUGUAAAACUGGGGCUGGGAGGAAGGAGGGGAUGACGUCAAAUCCGCAUGGCCCUUUGAUGCCCUGGGCUACACUCGUGUUACAAUGGCCGGUACAAUGGGUUGCCAACGCGCAAGCGGGAGCUAAUCCCAUCAAAAUCGGUCUCAGUUCGGAUUGAGGGCUGCAACUUGCCCUCAUGAAGCUGGAAUCGCUAGUAAUCGCAAAUCAGCUACGUUGCGGUGAAUACGUUCUCGAGUCCUGUACUCACUGCCCGUCACGCCAAGGAAGCCGGGAAGAGGUGAAGCCCCUCCCCAGUUCUACGAGCCGCGUUGGGAAACCACCACGCGUUUCGUAGUGCACAACUCGUUCAACAUUGAUCGAACAAUAGUUGUAGAACUGGGGAGGGGUUAGCUUCAGCUCGGUGACAUGGGCGAAGUCGUAACAAGGCACGCGUAGCGGAAGCUGUGCGUG
rnacentral:rRNA from 1 species